rnacentral:rRNA from 1 species
ACAUGGUGUUCUGCUCGGAUUGUUUGAUUUAUUAUGUUUGUCUAAAUGCUUUUUUAAUUUUCUC